rnacentral:rRNA from 1 species
CAAGAGUUUUGAAACUGGCUCAGGAUGAACGCUGGCGGCGUGCCUAACACAUGCAAGUCGAGCGAUCUCUUCGGAGAGAGCGGCGGACGGGUGAGUAACGCGUGGGUAACCUGCCCUGUACACACGGAUAACAUACCGAAAGGUAUACUAAUACGGGAUAACAUAUGAAAGUCGCAUGGCUUUUGUAUCAAAGCUCCGGCGGUACAGGAUGGACCCGCGUCUGAUUAGCUAGUUGGUAAGGUAAUGGCUUACCAAGGCAACGAUCAGUAGCCGACCUGAGAGGGUGAUCGGCCACACUGGAACUGAGACACGGUCCAGACUCCUACGGGAGGCAGCAGUGGGGAAUAUUGCACAAUGGGCGAAAGCCUGAUGCAGCAACGCCGCGUGAGCGAUGAAGGCCUUCGGGUCGUAAAGCUCUGUCCUCAAGGAAGAUAAUGACGGUACUUGAGGAGGAAGCCCCGGCUAACUACGUGCCAGCAGCCGCGGUAAUACGUAGGGGGCUAGCGUUAUCCGGAAUUACUGGGCGUAAAGGGUGCGUAGGUGGUUUUUUAAGUCAGAAGUGAAAGGCUACGGCUCAACCGUAGUAAGCUUUUGAAACUAGAGAACUUGAGUGCAGGAGAGGAGAGUAGAAUUCCUAGUGUAGCGGUGAAAUGCGUAGAUAUUAGGAGGAAUACCAGUAGCGAAGGCGGCUCUCUGGACUGUAACUGACACUGAGGCACGAAAGCGUGGGGAGCAAACAGGAUUAGAUACCCUGGUAGUCCACGCCGUAAACGAUGAGUACUAGGUGUCGGGGGUUACCCCCCUCGGUGCCGCAGCUAACGCAUUAAGACUCCCCCAAAUG